GCCUUCGGUUUUAUGGGACGUCUUGACUGUUUUGUACGACAGGUAAAAUAAAAGCUUACAGAUAUGUGUGUGCCAGUAGUUUAAGCAAGAACUGGUUCGUAAUGGGAGCCAGCAGGUGCAGUAACGGUGUGCAGCAGCAAGGAAAGAUGUUGUCGAUGCUCAGCUCUUUGACAGGGAGUUUGAGAGUCUGGUGUCUGAACUCACCGAGCAGGACUUCACUGAUCCAGUUCUCACUGAUGCCCUCAACAGACUCAGAGAGGUGCUUUGCUACAAUGCUCUUGGAGGCAAGAGAAACCGAGGGUUGUCUGUGAUUGGUUCUCUACGGGAGCUGGUCUCUCCGUCUGAAGUGUCACCUGAUGAAGUUCACCAUGCUCUUUUGGUUGGAUGGUGUAUUGAACUGCUCCAGGCAUUUUUCUUGGUGGCUGAUGACAUCAUGGAUGCAUCUGUGACGUGGAGAGGUCAACCCUGUUGGUAUAAGAAGGUGACUGAUUUAUGCUUGUUGUGGAAAGCCUGAAAAUAGUAGUUCAAAUUUCAUUUAAAAUAGUUUAUCGAUGACCAGGGCCGCAUUAAUGCACAGGCUUACCUGGGCUUAAGCCCAGGGGCCCUCGGCAGCAUAUAUAAACGCGUUCUGCAGGAGACACUGAUGUAAACAUAGAGAGGGUGCACAAUGGCUAAACC